UGGGGAAUAUUGGGCAAUGGGCGCAAGCCUGACCCAGCAACGCCGCGUGAGGGAAGAAGGCUUUCGGGUUGUAAACCUCUGUCCUUGGUGACGAAACAAAUGACGGUAGCCAAGGAGGAAGCCCCGGCUAACUACGUGCCAGCAGCCGCGGUAAUACGUAGGGGGCGGGCGUUGUCCGGAAUUACUGGGCGUAAAGGGUGCGUAGGUGGCCUUAUAAGUUGGAUGUGAAAUACCCGGGCUUAACUUGGGGGGUGCAUCUAAUACUGGAGGGCUAGAGUGCAGGAGAGGAAAGCGGAAUUCCUAGUGUAGCGGUGAAAUGCGUAGAUAUUAGGAGGAACACCAGUGGCGAAGGCGGCUUUCUGGACCAUCACUGACGCUCAGACGCGAAAGCUAGGGUAGCAAACGG
rnacentral:rRNA from 1 species